AAAGAAAUGCUUUGUGACUACUGUAGAAAGAAAUUAUGUUUGCAUUCCAGAAAACGCUUAGAAAAACUGAGGUGAACUCAUGAAGGAUUUUGAAGUAACUUUCUCUCCACCCUCAUGAAAUAAAAUGAACUUCCUUCUUCAUAAGCCAUUCUAUCCACAUCUUACAUGCUGUCUCAUUCACUGAUGAAUGGGCUCUGCAUAUUGGCAUGUAUUUGCUGACCACUGCUUUUGAAGACCCAGCUGUUAUUUUUUUGACAGUAUGUAAUGUUUUUUCUUCUCUUGGACCAUCCUUGCCAGGUGGUCACCAGAAGGUGUGAAUUCUGGAGAAUUUCACAAGAAAUGGUUUCCAGUUUGUCUGCUGCUGAGCCAAGCUCAUAACCUCAUAGGGAGCUACUGAGGUCUCUCAAUAGCUGCUGGUCCAGCGGAGUCCCAUAUUCCUCAAGCACUGAUCCCUGUGUCAACUUUUCAGAAGACUUAUUCAUGCCUCUCCUCAGAGCUAUGGAAUUCGUGUACCACAAAAUGAUUUUCAAUAUCUACCUUAAACUUAGUUUCUAAUCCCAUCUCACGUUACAAACCAAACAUUUAAAUGUAAUAGAUAUAUAAUAGAGGUAGAGAUUCAAAACAAGUCCCACUGACUUGGCCUUUGAUAUACAGAUUAGCCAGGAUGCGUUGUGAUGACCAUCUGUAGAAACAGGAUGUCACCUCCUUUUUUUCAUCUGAAAACUUACAUAGUCACUUGCACAAACUGUCUCUGAAAUAAGUGUGGUUCUGUAUAGCAUAGAAUCUGCC
rnacentral:lncRNA from 1 species